GUGGGCAUAGUUUAACAAAAACACUAGACCGUGACUCUAAAAACAGGGGUUAAACCCCCCUUGCUCUCC
rnacentral:tRNA from 1 species